AUAUCGGUAGGGGAGCGUUCUGUUGUAGGUCGAAGUAUUAGCGUAAGCGGAUAUGGACGAAGCAGAAGUGAGAAUGUCGGCUUGAGUAACGAAAAUAUAGGUGAGAAUCCUAUACCCCGAAAACCCAAGGUUUCCUCCGGAAGGCUCGUCCGCGGAGGGUAAGUCAGGACCUAAGGCGAGGCUGAAAAGCGUAGUCGAUGGACAACGGGUUAAUAUUCCCGUACCAUUUUUUAUUGACAACGAGGGACGGAGAAGGCUAAGCUAGCCGGAUAUUGGUUACCGGUUUAAACGUUCAAGAUGUUGAGAAGCGGCGAAAACGCUUUGAGUUGAGACGUGAGUACGAGACGCUAAGGCGUCGAAGUAGUGUAUGUCAUACUUCCAAGAAAAGCUUGCACUGUCAUAAAUAAAAAAUGCCUGUACCAUAACCGACACAGGUGGGUAGGUAGAGUAUACUAAGGGGCGCGAGCUAACUCUCUCUAAGGAACUCGGCAAAAUAGCCCUGUAACUUCGGGAGAAGGGGUGCCCUGUGAAGGGUUGCAAUAACCAGACCCAGGCGACUGUUUAUCAAAAACACAGGUCUCCGCUAAGUCGAAAGAUAAUGUAUGGGGGCUGACGCCUGCCCAGUGCCGGAAGGUUAAAGAAAAUGGUUAGCGUUAUGCGAAGCUGAUGACUGAAGCCCCGGUGAACGGCGGUCGUAACAAUAACGAUCCUAAGGUAGCGAAAUUCCUUGUCGGGUAAGUUCCGACCCGCACGAAAGGCGUAACGAUCUGGGUACUGUCUCAGAGAGAGACUCGGUGAAAUAGAACUGACUGUGAAGAUGCGGUCUACUUGCACUUGGACAGAAAGACCCUAUGAAGCUUUACUGUAACUUGAAAUUGGUUUCGGGCUCUUCUUGCGCAGUAUAGAUGGGAGGCUUUGAAGAAUUCUUUCGGGAAUAUCUGAGCUGUUAGUGAGAUACCAUUCUGGGAGAGUUAGAAAUCUAAAGACAGUUCUUGAAUCAGAAUGUUUGACAGUUUCAGGCGGGCAGUUUUACUGGGGCGGUAGCCUCCUAAAAGGUAACGGAGGCGUGCAAAGGUUCUCUCAGGUUAGACGGAAAUUAACCGAAGAGUGUAAAGGCAUAAGAGAGCUUAACUGUAAGACCUAGAAGUCGAGCAGGAACGAAAGUUGGCCUUAGUGAUCCGACGGUUCUUAGUGGAAAGGCCGUCGCUUAACCGAUAAAAGUUACUCUAGGGAUAACAGGCUGAUCUCCCCCAAGAGUUCACAUCGACGGGGAGGUUUGGCACCUCGAUGUCGGCUCAUCGCAGCCUGGGGCGGUAGUACGUCCCAAGGGUUGGGCUGUUCGCCCAUGAAAGCGGUACGCGAGCUGGGUUCAGAACGUCGUGAGACAGUUCGGUCCAUAUCCGGUGUAGGCGUUAGAAUAUUGAGAGGAGCCUUCUUUAGUACGAGAGGACCGAGAAGGACAUACCUAUGGUGUACCAGUUAUCGUGCCAACGGUAAACGCUGGGUAGCUAAGUAUGGAGUGGAUAACCGCUGAAAGCAUCUAAGUGGGAAGCCCACCUCAAGAUGAGUACUCUUACCAUCUAAUAAUGGUUAA
rnacentral:rRNA from 16 species